rnacentral:rRNA from 1 species
UACGUAGGUGGCAAGCGUUGUCCGGAAUUAUUGGGCGUAAAGCGCGCGCAGGUGGUUUCUUAAGUCUGAUGUGAAAGCCCACGGCUCAACCGUGGAGGGUCAUUGGAAACUGGGGAGCUUGAGUGCAGGAGAGAAGAGUGGAAUUCCACGUGUAGCGGUGAAAUGCGUAGAGAUGUGGAGGAACACCAGUGGCGAAGGCGACUCUUUGGCCUGUAACUGACACUGAGGCGCGAAAGCGUGGGGAGCAAACAGG